rnacentral:lncRNA from 1 species
GGGCGACCGCGUGGCCAGACUGCGGUCACUCGACUAGACCCGGCCUCAAUGGCUUAAACUCUCCUAACUGGCCCGAACCUUCGAGAGGGCGCUCCCUGCCCCGGGUCGUCCCCUGCUCUACUCCCGCCACCUCGACCUCUGGUGGCGCUAGGGAAUCUGAAAGCCGCGGGGCCUGAGCGGCGCCGGACUCCACCUGGCCCGGGGCGCGGUUGACCCCAAAGUCGGCCUUCUGGGUUGUAAAAAGGUGGAGAAAGGAGAAGCUCGAUCGGGUCAACUUUGAAAAAGGAAUGCCCUCGCUUCCAGAAAUUAGCGGAGUGCAGGCAUUCCCGGCUCCGGCGGCCGCGGGGCGGUCUUCGCACCCGGGGGCGUUUCGCUUGGAAACGGACUGCAGCGGGGCCACCACACCCGUGGCAUAGGGGUCCAAUCGGAGCCACAGCUGCUGGCCUAGGCCACAGCAACAGCAGAUCUGUGCCCCAUCUGCGACUUAUUCCUGAGCAGGGCCAGGGAUGGAACCCACAUCCUCAUGGAUAUUAGUCAGGUUGUUACCACUGAGACACAACAGGAGCUCCCAUUAACAUGAAUUUUCAUCUCAGCAUAAAUGCACAUAAAUUUUUCUACUUUUCUCUAUCAUUAUGGACUCAUAUUUUAUUGCAUAUGCCUGACUUAAAAAUUCUAGAAAUGAGGAACUGAUGGAUUAAAGGCAAAGUAUAUUUUUCAAAUGUUUUCUAAACUGUCUUUGAGGAAACUUUAUUAGUUUUCUUUUGAGAAAUGCCCCCUUUUCCAUAUCCCUGACAACCCAGACUAUAUUUUCAAAUUUAAAGUUGUUCUUUCUCACUGUUUUGAAUUUCACUUCUUAAAUCACUACUUAGCUGGUUUGUUUUUCCACAUAGUUAUUGAUUGUUUGUAAUUUUUUGGUGAAUUUGCUUGUGUCCCUUUGCCCACUUUCCUAUAUGUCCAUUUAAGAAAGUUGGGAAAUUGACUCCUGGGUAUAUAUCCAAAGAAAACAAAAACACUAAUUCAGAAAGUCACAUGCACCCCAAUGUUCAUAGCAGCACUAUUUACAGUAGCCAAGAUAGGGACGCAUCCUGAGUGUCCAUCAGCAGGUGAAUGGGUAAAGAAGCAGUACAAACCUGUGCAAUAGAAUACUACUCAGCCAUAAAAGAAUGAAAUUCUGGAGUUCCCGUCGUGGCUCAAUGGUUAAUGAACCCAACUAGCAUCCAUGAGGAUGGGGGUGGCCUUGCUCAGUGGGUUAAGGGUCCAGUGUAGCCAUGAACUGCGGUGUAGGUAGCAGAUGUGGCUCGAGUCCACAUUGCUGUGGCUGUGGCAUAGGCUGGUAGCUACAGUUCUGACUGGACCCCUAGCCUGUGAACCUCCAUAUGCUGUGGGUGCGGCCUUAGAAAGACAAGAAAAAAAAAAUGAAAUUCUGCCAUUUUGGACACCAUGGACAGACCUGGAGGAUAUUGUGCGUAGUGAAAUAAGUCAAACAGAGACAAAUGCAAAGAACAAACUAGUGGUUACUGGUGGGGCGGCAAAAGAGGGGCAGGGGGUUAAGAGGUACAAAUGACCUUGUAUAAAAUAAAUAAGCUACCAGGGUUUAUUGUAUAGCACAGGGAAUAGAGCCAAUGUUUUAUUAUAACAACGUCAAUUUUGAAUCACUGUGCUGUGCAUCUGGAACUAAUGCAACAUUGUAAAUCAACUAUACCUCAAUUUUUUAAACAUUGGGAAAUUGGUUUUAUUUGGCCAGAGCAGGGGAGGCAGGAGUGGGGGAGGCACACCUUAGAAACUAAAAGCCUUUUAUGGUUUCUGCCUUUGAUACUAUGUUGAGAGGCCACCACACCCCAUGCCAAAUGAAAUUUCAUGUGUGUCUGUAUACACACACACACACACACACACACACACACACAUAUAUUUGCUUUUUAGGGCACACCUAUGGCAUAUGGAAGUUCCCAGGCUAGGGGUCCAAUCAGAGCUGUAGCCAUCAGCCUACACCACAGCCACAGCAACACCAGAUCCAAGCCACAUCUUCCACCUACACCACAGCUCACAGCAACGCUGGAUCCUUAACCCACUGAAUGAGGCCAGGGAUCGAACCCGAUCUUCAUGGAUACUAGUAGGGUUCGUUUUUGCUGCACCACAAUGGGAACUCCCGAUGUUUAUAUUUUUACUGCAGAAAAUAAGGUUUAAUAUCUAGGAGUGGAAGUUCUCCCCUUUCUACAUAGAUUCCUUUUGUUUCCCCAAAAAAUGUCCUUGACUAGAAUCACUCAUUUAUUCUUCUAAAUAAAUUUUGGAAUUUCUUGGCAA